GCCUGGGUGGCUCAGUCGGUUGAGCGUCCGACUUCAGCUCAGGUCAUGAUCUCACGGUUCGUGGGUUCGAGCCCCGCAUGGGGCU
rnacentral:tRNA from 1 species